rnacentral:rRNA from 1 species
GACGAACGCUGGCGGCGUGCUUAACACAUGCAAGUCGAACGGAAAGGCCCUGCUUUUGUGGGGUGCUCGAGUGGCGAACGGGUGAGUAACACGUGAGUAACCUGCCCUUGACUUUGGGAUAACUUCAGGAAACUGGGGCUAAUACCGGAUAGGAGCUCCUGCUGCAUGGUGGGGGUUGGAAAGUUUCGGCGGUUGGGGAUGUACUCGCGGCUUAUCAGCUUGUUGGUGGGGUAGUGGCUUACCAAGGCUUGGACGGGUAGCCGGCCUGAGAGGGUGACCGGCCCCAUUGGGACUGAGAUACGGCCCAGCCUCCUACGGGAGGCAGCAGUGGGGAAUAUUGCACAGUGGGCGGAAGCCUGAUGCAGCAACGCCGCGUGCGGGAUGACGGCCUUCGGGUUGUAAACCGCUUUCGCCUGUGACGAAGCGUGAGUGACGGUAAUGGGUAAAGAAGCACCGGCUAACUACGUG